rnacentral:rRNA from 2 species
UACAGAGACUGCAAGCGUUAUUCGGAUUCACUGGGCGUAAAGGGUGCGCAGGCCGCCGUGUGUGUGAGGUGUGAAAUCCCGGAGCUUAACUCCGGAACUGCGCCUCAAACUACACGGCUAGAGCAUUGGAGAGGGAAGUGGAAUUCACGGUGUAGCAGUGAAAUGCGUAGAUAUCGUGAGGAACACCAGAGGCGAAGGCGACUUCCUGGACAAUUGCUGACGCUCAGGCACGAAAGCGUGGGGAGCAAAAGGG